rnacentral:RNase_P_RNA from 1 species
GCAAUGAGCCACCCCACCGCCGCGCCCAACGCAAAUGCGGGCGGGGAGGAAAGUCCGGGCAACGCAGGGCACCCUGCUACCUAACGGGUAGGACUGGCCAAUCGGGCCAGGACAGCCAGUGCCACAGAAAAUAACCGCCGUUAUUUUAGCUAUUAGCUAAAAGCUGCUAGCUAUUAGCUCUCGUUUAACGAAAAAGCUAACAGCUAAUAGCUUUCAGCUAACAGCUAAAAAAAGGUAAGGGUGAAAAGGUGCGGUAAGAGCGCACCAGCGGCUGGGUGACCACGCCGGCUGGGUAAACCUCAGGGGUUGCAAGACCAAAUAAGCGGAUACGCGGGCGGCUUUCGGGCCGCUGGCACCGGGCGGCCCGCCCGGGUUCGCGGGUAGGUUGCUGGAGCCCCGCCGCGAGGCGGGGCCUAGAUAAAUGGUGGGGCCGCCGCCCGCGGAAACGCGGAAGGGCGGACAGAACCCGGCUUAUCGGCUCAUUGCCUAA